rnacentral:rRNA from 1 species
UACGUAGGGUGCGAGCGUUAAUCGGAAUUACUGGGCGUAAAGCGUGCGCAGGCGGUUUUGUAAGCCAGAUGUGAAAUCCCCGGGCUCAACCUGGGAAUGGCAUUUGGGACUGCAAGGCUUGAGUGCGGCAGAGGAGACUGGAAUUCCUGGUGUAGCAGUGAAAUGCGUAGAUAUCAGGAGGAAUACCGAUGGCGAAGGCAGGUCUCUGGGCCGGAACUGACGCUGAGGAGCGAAAGCGUGGGUAGCAAACAGG